GCCUCAGCGGUGCCCCUUCAGGCUCAUCUGGCAAGACGGUACCAGCUUGCUCAGAACAGGGGCUGGCUAUUCAUCAUCUCAGAGCAUAGAGACCCUCUCCUUGCCACCCGGCCCUUCCCACCUGGUUGGUGACAAAUCACAAGUGACCAUCUACCUGGGGAACAGAGACUACAUAGACCAUGUCAGCCAAGUCCAGCCUGUGGUGGUGUCGUGUUGGUUGAUCCUGAUCUUGUGAAGGGAAAGAAAGGUAUGUCACUCUGACCUGCGCCUUCCGCUAUGGCCAAGAGGACAUUGACGUGAUCGGCUUGACCUUCCGCAGGGACCUGUACUUCUCCCGGGUCCAGGUGUAUCCUCCUGUGGGGGCCGCGAGCACCCCCACAAAACUGCAAGAGAGCCUGCUUAAAAAGCUGGGGAGCAACACGUACCCCUUUCUCCUGACGUUCCUGACUACUUGCCCUGUUCA
rnacentral:lncRNA from 1 species